UAAAAAUAUAAAGCCUUCAAAGAGACAACAGUAAAAGAAAAAAAGCCAUGUAAAGAUGGGAAAUACACAGGGAAUCUGGAUCUUGUAAUCUUGUAUAGUAUUGUGUUGAUUUUGAAUUUUUUGAUUGCUGAUAAACAAACAGCUGCCAAGAAACCUAGAGUUGACAGAGGGACUGUUGAAAUAAACCAGCCCAUACCCUUUAGGAAUGCUUUAACUUUAAAAUGGAAGUCAAGAAACAUAUCUGUCAAAUGGAAAUCAAAAAUGCUUUGGAGGAGAGGUUUGGCUUUUGUUCCCACAGGAAGUGAGAAGCUGUGGAUUUCUUCCAGGUUAAUAUGGUUUGAUCAGGGGAGCUCUCUUGAGUCUUGACAGGUGAUAUCUAUCAACAAAGGUUACUGCUGGUCUUCCCAAGACUUGGUGAUUAUCUCAAAAUUUCUCAGGGACCCUGAAGAUGCCUUCACUCCCAUUCAACAAGAGGCAGUCUAGAGAACACGACAUUCACAUUCCCAAGAGUUGGAUUGUUGGAGGCUUUUCAUUAUCUGAUUCCAAGGGCCGGCCCUGAAAAAGCACAGUUGAUCAGCCACACUCUGUCCGCCUGUCCCCCAGAGGGGAGCACCUCUCCAUCCCGGAGCCUUCCGGCGCAUUGUUGGAAAGCUGCAAGAGUUUAUGAUUUAGGGGGGAAAUAAAAACUCAGAUUUAAUAGCUCCAGAGUAUAAUCCCCAUUACAUACACAGUGGAGUGGCAGGGGCGGGGUUGUGCUAUUCCGGGUUUCUGGAGCUGGUGACACACUCUCAGGCAUCUCUGCUCUCCGCUGGGUUUGCGGACCAAAGCUCAACAUAAUGCAGCUGCCUGAGCACAGAUCGGACUAGCAAAGAGAAAAUGGUUUCCAUUCUUCCUGCUACAGACUUUGUCCUCUGGGAUGGGGGCCAAACAAGCAUGGGACAGGAACAAACCCAGGGUUGACUGGAUGCCACUGCUGCCACCAAGUGAUCAAAGACAGAGACCAAAACAUGGUGGUUCAUCCAAGGGAAGAAACCGGCCUUGGUGGCCUGGCAAAGAAUGUGGCCAGCUCUGUAUUGUGUUCAGGAGUUUCGGAACUCUCUAGCUCAGCAGUUCUCAACUUUCCUAAUGCUGCGACCCUUUAAUACAGUUCCUCAUGUUGUGGUGACCCCCAUCUCCCACCCCCAUACACACACAACCAUAAAAUUAUUUUUGUUGCUA